AGUGAACGCUGGCGGCAGGCCUAAUACAUGCAAGUCGAACGGCAGCACAGCAGAGCUUGCUCUGUGGGUGGCGAGUGGCGGACGGGUGAGGAAUACAUGGGAAUCUGCCCAGUCGUGGGGGAUAACGUAUGGAAACGUACGCUAAUACCGCAUGCGCCCUACGGGGGAAAGUCGGGGACCGCAAGGCCUGACGCGAUUGGAUGAGCCCAUGUUCGAUUAGCUAGUUGGCGGGGUAAAGGCCCACCAAGGCGACGAUCGAUAGCUGGUCUGAGAGGAUGAUCAGCCACACUGGAACUGAGACACGGUCCAGACUCCUACGGGAGGCAGCAGUAGGGAAUAUUGGACAAUGGGGGCAACCCUGAUCCAGCCAUGCCGCGUGAGUGAAGAAGGCCCUCGGG
rnacentral:rRNA from 1 species